rnacentral:rRNA from 1 species
GACGAACGCUGGCGGCGUGCUUAACACAUGCAAGUCGAACGGAAAGGCCCUGCUUUUGUGGGGUGCUCGAGUGGCGAACGGGUGAGUAACACGUGAGUAACCUGCCCUUGACUUUGGGAUAACUUCAGGAAACUGGGGCUAAUACCGGAUAGGAGCUCCUGCUGCAUGGUGGGGGUUGGAAAGUUUCGGAGGUUGGGGAUGGACUCGCGGCUUAUCAGCUUGUUGGUGGGGUAGUGGCUUACCAAGGUUUUGACGGGUAGCCGGCCUGAGAGGGUGACCGGCCACAUUUGGACUGAGAUCCGGCCCAGACUCCUACGGGACGCAGAAGUGGGGAAUAUUGCACGAUGCGCGCAAGCCUGGUGCAGCAACGCCGCGUGCGGGAUGACGGCCUUCGGGUUGUAAACCGCUUUCGCCUGUGACGAAGCGUGAGUGACGGUAAUGGGUAAAGAAGCACCGGCUAACUACGUG